rnacentral:lncRNA from 1 species
GGAUCUGGAACAUCGGAUUACUCAUCUGGUGGCAGGUGGGUGUCGGAGCUGGCUGUGGACCCCACCGUCUGUAGCCAGUCCGCAGCAGCUUUCCUCUCUGGCAAACUCACAGCAAGCAUGCAGGGUGAUAAAACGGCAGUGACAAAUCCAGUGCAAUCAGGUGGGAAAUCCCCCCUGAGUAAUAACACCUCCUCAUCGCUCAUCCCGACCUCUUCCCCUGAGCCCCGCGUCUGCCGCUGAGAACUCAGCGCUGUUUUACCUUCAGCCCUGAGCUCCGCACAGGAAAAAGAAGAGAAAAGUGAGACACGGGAGUCUGGAGGAUCUCAAUCAAUGGUCAGAAAGGAGUACCCAGAAUGUCUACUGAUUGCCUCACUCCACGCAGAAUAUGCAACAUUCAUCCUUUCUCUAUCGCACCCUCCCUGCAUCUCCCAUCAUUCUUGACUCAGAGAAGAAGGCGUCAAGCAUUCUUUCAAGUACCUUCCCCAGGGUUGUCAUCAACUUAACUCCUCUUCAGUUUCCACUGCUACUAGUAAAGUAAUCAUGAUUUACGAAGAAUCCAUUAUGGAAAAAUUUUGCAUCUAUUAAUUAUCUGACUUAAUCUUUACCAGAUCGUUAUUAAGCAAGAAUUACUAUUACCCUGAUUUUCACAGAUGAGGAAAUUGAGGAUAAGGAAAUUUAGGAACCUGCCUAGAGUUACACAACAAGGAAGUUGCAGAGGGGAGGGUUUUUGCCAAGGUUUCUAUGAUUCCAAUGUUAUCACUUUUCUAAUGCAUCUGCUGACCGAGACUGAAGAAUCAACUACCUCCUCCAGGUAGGUGGUGCCUGGAUCUGUGUCCUCCUCCUUCAGGUAUCUCUCUUCUGUGGUCCUAUUGCCACUCUCUUGAUUCAGUUGGUCAUCAUCUUUCACCAGAACCAUGACCUUUGCAUCCCCCAGUCCAUCCUUCACAUUCCACUAGAAUCAUCUUUCUAAACAGAAGUUCCUAUUCUCAUAUUCCCCUUUCCAACUAUUUUCAUGGAUCUCAAGUAUUAGUGAAAUGAGAAAAAUGUCCAUCUAUCUUGGCAUUCCAGUUCUGCUCCUACUACAUUCAUACAACUUCUGGCAUAUUAUUUAAGCGCCGAGAAACACAGUUUUCUCUCAUUGAAAAUGGACACUGUAAUCCCUAUUUAACUGCAAGGAGUAAAUAAAAUCACAUAUGAUGAUUGCCUAAUAAAAUGGCUGUCCCCCAGAAAUGCCUUAAUGAAUUGUGUUUCUUCUAGAAGGUCAGUCACCCAAGAAAUCUCUGGGACUGAGGAGAACGGGGGAACAGGAGACAGAUCGGAGAGGCUGGGACAUGGAGAUUUGCUUCAUAUGCAAAGAACUCAUCUCCUAGAAUUUUGCAGCAUCUUCCAGAGUCUAAGCUUGUGUUUUGACGUGCCCUUUCCAAGACAAGGGGAUACGUGAAGCUCAGUGAAUCAGGAGCGUUUACGGAGGAGAAAGAAAAUAAGAUCUUCUCCCCAGCUAAAAAUCCAGGCAUUGUCCUUGGCUGGAAAACCUCUCUUGGAUUGUAUGGACAGACUGAAAAUACAUCUUAGCAUCCAAACAUAGACAGCCAGGGCAUGGACUCAGGCUUGAUGCCCAAAGAGAUCCUCAUCAUCAUACCUUAGAAGUACCACAUCCUUUGUUCCUCCUGGCUAAACCCCUUCAGCCAACAUCCCUGCCUGCAGGGUAAGCAAUUUACUUACAGUUAAACUGCUAAUAAGUAGGGAAUCAUGGAUCAAUCAGAAACACUAAAUAUUUCAAAAUAUUUAGGGUCAAUAUUUCAAAAAACAUUGCAACAUUGGUACAUUUACCUGCUACAAGUUUGCAUGGGCAGGAACCAUAUCAAGUCCAUUAAAAUUCCUGAUUUCCUUAUGUCUAGCAAAAUCUUUGAUCACUAGUUAUGUAUAUUUCAGUUAAUAAAAAUGAAGAGCAUGAGUACUCUUCCAUAAGAAAUGCAGCGUGUUGGGAUAUACAGAAUUUUGCAAAACAGAGUAGAAUGGGGAUGGUUAUCAUAACACAGUGGGCCCAUCAGUGUAGUGGAGUUCAACAUUUUUGAUUCCUUCCAAAUUUCCAGAUUUCAUCUUUGAUGUUGGGAAUGUAAAGACUGAUAUAGCACAAUCAUGGUCCUCCAGAAAUGUAUCAGAUUGUUGGGGAAACAAAUAGAUGCAGAAAUAGUUAUCUGCGUGAUACAGCAAAUACAAACAUGUGCAAGAUGCUCCAAGGAUGUAGAAAGAGAAGCCCUGGUUGGGCUUGUGUGGAGGAGAUGUGGGAAAGGGGGCUUUCUCAAGGAAGCGAUGUCUGAACUCAGACUUGAAGGAACAGCAGAGCUUACCCUCCCCACAGGAGGUUGUACUGUACAGCAUGAGCAAAGAAAGGAGGAAGGUGUAAAGACAUUACCUUUGGUGCAAAGAUUGGCAUAGCUGUCCCACAACCUAUUUGAAUUAACAUUUGUCAAUGAGACACCAACAUCAAAUGCUAUCACUGACAUGUGGAAUCUAAAAAAAGAACACAAUGAACUUCUUUGCAGAACAGAUACUGACUCACAGACUUUGAAAAACUUACGGUUUCCAAAUGAGACCGGUUAGCGGGUGGGGGGAUGCACUGAGGGUUUGGGAUGGAAAUGCUGUAAAAUUUGGUUGUGAUGAUUGUUGUACACCUAUAAAUGUAAUAAAAUUCAUUAAGUAAUAAAAAAGGAGAAAAAAAACUUUACAAUGAUAUAUAAAAAAUAAUAAUGUUUAUCAUGGUAGGUCUCCAUGCAUUAAGAAUUUACUGAGAGGCUAUUCUAUGCCAAGCCUAACAGUGGGCACCCAGGGUGGAUAGCUCAAAUGUCAUGUCUCCAAAAAUCCACAUUUCAGGAGAGAAAACGAUGCAACACUGUGCAAUGAGCUUGAAAGACCUCACCCAUAAUACAUGCUGGACCAGGAGCUUUAUUUGGUAGAAAUGCUUUGAGAAUAUUUUUUUUGUUUUUAUCUUGCCACUGGAUGUGUCCAUUCUGUUUAGUAAUUCUUCAGUCAAUAAUAACCAUUCAUAUCACCUCCCCUAAUUGCCAUUUUUAUAAGAUUUUUUAAAAUUUAUUAAGAAAAAAAUGUGUAUAAUAUUCUCUCUCAAAAAAAAAAAA